rnacentral:rRNA from 1 species
UACGAAGGGGGCUAGCGUUGCUCGGAAUCACUGGGCGUAAAGCGCGCGUAGGCGGUUUGUUAAGUCAGGGGUGAAAUCCUGGAGCUCAACUCCAGAACUGCCUUUGAUACUGGCGAUCUUGAGUCCGGGAGAGGUGAGUGGAACUGCGAGUGUAGAGGUGAAAUUCGUAGAUAUUCGCAAGAACACCAGUGGCGAAGGCGGCUCACUGGCCCGGUACUGACGCUGAGGUGCGAAAGCGUGGGGAGCAAACAGG